CUUAGAGUUUGAUCCUGGCUCAGGAUGAUCGCUGGCGGUAUGCUUAACACAUGCAAGUCGAACGGUGUCUUCGGACAUAGUGGCGGACGGGUGAGUAACGCGUGAGAAUCUAGCUUCAGGUCUGGGACAACCACUGGAAACGGUGGCUAAUACCGGAUGUGCCGGAAGGUGAAAGGCUUGCUGCCUGAAGAUGAGCUCGCGUCCGAUUAGCUAGUAGGUGGGGUAAGAGCCUACCUAGGCGACGAUCGGUAGCUGGUCUGAGAGGAUGACCAGCCACACUGGGACUGAGACACGGCCCAGACUCCUACGGGAGGCAGCAGUGGGGAAUUUUCCGCAAUGGGCGAAAGCCUGACGGAGCAAUACCGCGUGAGGGAGGAAGGCUCUUGGGUUGUAAACCUCUUUUCUCAGGGAAGAACACAAUGACGGUACCUGAGGAAUCAGCAUCGGCUAACUCCGUGCCAGCAGCCGCGGUAAUACGGAGGAUGCAAGCGUUAUCCGGAAUGAUUGGGCGUAAAGCGUCCGCAGGUGGCUGUGUAAGUCUGCUGUCAAAGAGCAAAGCUCAACUUUGUAAAGGCAGUGGAAACUACACGGCUAGAGUGCGUUCGGGGCAGAGGGAAUUCCUGGUGUAGCGGUGAAAUGCGUAGAGAUCAGGAAGAACACCGGUGGCGAAGGCGCUCUGCUAGGCCGCAACUGACACUGAGGGACGAAAGCUAGGGGAGCGAAUGGGAUUAGAUACCCCAGUAGUCCUAGCUGUAAACGAUGGA
rnacentral:rRNA from 1 species